AUUGAACGCUGGCGGCAGGCCUAACACAUGCAAGUCGGGCGAGCGGCGGACGGGUGAGUAAUGUAUGGGGAUCUGCCUGAUGGAGGGGGAUAACUACUGGAAACGGUAGCUAAUAACGCAUACCAUCAGAUGAACCCAUAUGGGAUGAGCUAGUUGGGGGGGUAAAGGCUUACCAAGGCGACUAUCCGUAUCUGGUCUGAGGGGAUGAACAGCCACACUGGAACUGAGACACGGUCCAGACUCCUACGGGAGGCAGCAGUGGGGAAUAUUGGACAAUGGGCGAAAGCCUGAUCCAGCCAUGCCGCGUGUGUGAAGAAGGUCUUCGGGUUGUAAAGUACUUUCAGCGAGGAGGCGUUACUCGCAGAAGAAGCACCGGCUAACUCCGUGCCAGCAGCCGCGGUAAUAC
rnacentral:rRNA from 1 species